rnacentral:rRNA from 1 species
AACGAACGCUGGCGGCAUGCCUAACACAUGCAAGUCGAACGAGACCUUCGGGUCUAGUGGCGCACGGGUGCGUAACGCGUGGGAACCUGCCCUUAGGUUCGGAAUAACUCCCCGAAAGGGGUGCUAAUACCGGAUAAUGUCUUCGGACCAAAGAUUUAUCGCCUUUGGAUGGGCCCGCGUUGGAUUAGCUAGUUGGUAGGGUAAAAGCCUACCAAGGCGACGAUCCAUAGCUGGUCUGAGAGGAUGAUCAGCCACACUGGGUCUGAGACACGGCCCAGAUGCAGCGGGAGGGAAGAGGGGGGAAGAAUGGGAAAGGGGGAAAAAGCCUGACCAAGAAGUGCGGGGGAAGGAAGGAGGGACGAGGGGUUAUAAAGUUUUUUAACCGGGGGUAAAAAUGACAAAACGGGGAAAAUAAGCCCCGGAAAACUCGGUC